rnacentral:misc_RNA from 1 species
UCUGCCUUAUCGGCAAGCGGUCCCAUUAGAGUGCCCAACUUAAUGCUGGCAACUAAUGGCAAGGGUUGCGCUCGUUGCGGGACUUAACCCAACAUCUCACGACACGAGCUGACGACAGCCAUGCAGCACCUGUCUCGACGUCCCCGAAGGGAACCCCUACUUUCAUAGGGUAGCGUCGGAUGUCAAGCCCAGGUAAGGUCUUUCGCGUUGCCUCGAAUUAAACCACAUACUCCACCGCUUGUGCGGGCCCCCGUCAAUUUCUUUGAGUUUUAACCUUGCGGCCGUAAUCCCCAGGCGGGUCACUUAACGCGUUAGCUACGGCAUCGGAGGGGUAGAAUCCUCCGACACCUAGUGACCAUCGUUUACAGCGUGGACUAC